UCUCCGUAGGUGAACCUGCGGAGGGAUCAUUACUGAGUGAGGGCUCACGCCCGACCUCCAACCCUUUGUGAACCAAACUUGUUGCUUCGGGGGCGACCCUGCCGACGACUCCGUCGCCGGGCGCCCCCGGAGGUCUUCUAAACACUGCAUUCUCUGCGUCGGAGUAUUAGUAAAUCUAAUCAAAACUUUCAACAACGGAUCUCUUGGUUCUGGCAUCGAUGAAGAACGCAGC
rnacentral:misc_RNA from 1 species